GAUAUUGACAAUUUGAUCAACAGGUAUAAUUCUUUAAUUGUUCCUUUGGAACUAUGGCGAUAAACGUGCUCGAAAUAAACGGAUCGGACCCGGGGGCGGUACCCGGCGGCUCCACCAUGAUGAUAGGGGG
rnacentral:tmRNA from 1 species